AUGCCAGGAUCACAAGCCGACGAGAUUGACUGGGAGAAUUUAUCGAACAAGGAGCUUCAUGAUAAGUUUCAGCAAAUGAUGACUGAACAGGUGCAAGAUGUGCUGAACAAUUUUGAAGAGGCCAUGGAGAAGAUCACUGGCCUUGAGAAGACGUUCGAAACAAAGCUCGAUAACAAGUUUAAUGAAUUGCUCACGCGUCUUCCACCACCACCACCCGCUGCACCUAACGCACCUCUCCAACAACAACAACAACAACUACCUCCACAUCGCGAAACAGACCUUCGCCGAGCGAGUCGUGUUCCUCUUGCGUUUGGCCAAACUGUUGGUGCUGCUGUUGAUAAUUCUGUGGCUCCUGCUGCUGAUGCGGAGGAGGAUGAUUAUGUGGGAGAUUAUGAGGAUGGGGUUGAUCAAAAUCAGCACUACGUGCAGCCACCAGCACCACCACCAGCAGGUCGACCUCAGGUAUAUAUUCGUAAUGGUAGGCCUGCACCACCACCUCAGGUACGAGAUGAUGUCCAUAUUCCUAAACUGAAAUUGAAUAUUCCACCAUUUGAGGGUAGAUAUGUUCCUGAUAUAUAUCUUACUUGGGAGUUAGAAACUGAACAACGAUUUACAUGUUUACAAUAUCCUGAGGAGAGACGAGUUGCUGCUGUUGUUUGUGCUUUCACUAGUUUUGCAUGUGUAUGGUGGUCUGAACAUUGUAGAUUAUAUCCUAUUCCAACUACUUGGGCUGCUUUGAAAACUGCUAUGCGUACGCGUUGGGUUCCACCAUAUUAUCAACGUGAAUUGCUUCAAAAAUUGCAGCGUUUAAGACAAGGAAAAAAUUCUGUAGAAGAAUAUUAUCAGGAAUUACAAACUGGCAUGAUUACAUGUGGUAUUGUUGAGGAGAAUGAAGCUAUGCUUGCACGUUUUCUGGGUGGAUUAAAUAGAGAGAUUCAGACCAUUCUAGACUAUAAGGAGUAUACUAAUAUCACUCGUUUAUUCCAUCUUGCUUGUAAAGCUGAACGUGAAGUGCAGGAUCGACAAGCAUUGGGGCGAACUAACUUUUCUGCAGGCCGACCUUCAUCAUGGACACCACGUGCAUCUUCUACUUCAACUGCACCAGCACCUCCAUCCGGUGCCACCUCCAGCCGUGAUACAAGAAAACAGGCACAACCACCAUUAUCUGCCAAGAGCUCACCUGCGGGGCCUGCACAGCGUUCUUCUUCUUCCAUGGCAUCAACAGGGCACACAAGUGAUAUUAUUUGUCGUCGUUGUAAGGGAGGAGGUCAUUAUGCGAGAGAAUGCAAAUCUCCGCGUGUGAUGAUUGCUACCGCGGAUGGUGGAUAUGAGUCCGCUAGUGACUAUGAUGAGGAGACUUUGGCUCUUAUUACACGUGAAGAACAUGGUGGAGAUGAUUCUGAUCAUGAGACGCAAUACAUGGCUCCUGAAGACACUGACAGGUAUGAAUGUUUAGUUGCUCAACGUGUUUUGAGUGUGCAGGUCACACAAGCUGAGCAAAAUCAGAGGCACAAUUUGUUCCAUACCAAGGGAGUUGUGAAAGAACGUUCUGUGCGCGUCAUCAUAGAUGGAGGGAGCUGCAACAACUUGGCUAGCAUGGAGAUGGUGGAGAAGCUUUCUCUCACCACAAGACCACAUCCACAUCCUUACUACAUCCAAUGGUUCAACAACAGCGGCAAGGUUAAGGUAACACGUACUGUUCGUGUGCAUUUUAGUAUCUCUACAUAUGCUGAUUAUGUUGAUUGUGAUGUGGUACCUAUGCAAGCAUGUUCCUUAUUACUUGGUAGACCAUGGCAAUUUGAUAAAAAUUCUGUACACCAUGGUAGAAACAAUCACUAUACUCUUGUUCAUAAGGAUAAAAAUAUAACUUUGCUUCCUAUGACUCCUGAUUCCAUUUUGAAAGAUGAUAUUAAUAGAGCUAAUAAAGCAAAACAGGAGACGAAUAAGAGUGAAAAUCAGAUUGUGGCAAAAGAAUUUGAGCAACAAAUGAAGCCUAAUAAUAAACCAUCUAGUGUUGCUUCUGAAAUUAAAUUGAAAAGUGCAUGUUUAUUUGCCACCAAAUCUGAUAUUGAUGAGCUAGAUUUCAGCAAAUCUGUUUGCUAUGCUUUUGUGUGCAAAGAGGCAUUAUUUUCAUUCGAGGACGUGCCUUCCUCUUUGCCUCCUGCUGUCACUAACAUUUUGCAGGAGUUCGCUGACGUUUUUCCACAAGACGUGCCACCGGGAUUACCGCCUAUUCGAGGGAUUGAGCAUCAGAUUGACUUAAUUCCCGGUGCUUCACUGCCAAACCGUGCACCAUACCGUACCAAUCCAGAGGAGACGAAGGAGAUUAUGCGUCAAGUACAAGAGCUUCUCGACAAAGAUGCGGCUCGUCGCUAUCUUCAAUUUGAGUACUCACGGAGCCAAAACUGA
rnacentral:rRNA from 1 species